AGAAUCGACGCUGGCGGCGUGCCUAACACAUGCAAGUCGCACGAGAAAGUGGAGCAAUCCACGAGUAAAGUGGCGCACGGGUGAGUAACACGUGAAUAAUCUACCUCCGAGUGGGGAAUAACUGAGAGAAAUCUUAGCUAAUACCGCAUAAUACCCACGGGUCAAAGCAGCAAUGCGCUUGGAGAGGAGUUCGCGGCCGAUUAGCUAGUUGGCGGGGUAAUGGCCCACCAAGGCGAUGAUCGGUA
rnacentral:rRNA from 1 species